rnacentral:rRNA from 1 species
GGAAUAUUGGGCAAUGGGCGCAAGCCUGACCCAGCGACGCCGCGUGAGGGAUGAAGGCCUUCGGAUUGUAAACCUCUUUCAGUAGGGAAGAAGCGAAAGUGACGGUACCUAAAGAAGAAGCACCGGCUAACUAUGUGCCAGCAGCCGCGGUAAUACAUAGGGUGCAAGCGUUGUCCGGAAUUAUUGGGCGUAAAGAGCUCGUAGGUCGUUUGUCGCGUCGAUUGUGAAAAUCUGAGGCUCAACCUCAGACCUGCAGUCGAUACGGGCAAACUAGAGUGUGGUAGGGGAGACUGGAAUUCCUGGUGUAGCGGUGGAAUGCGCAGAUAUCAGGAGGAACACCAAUGGCGAAGGCAGGUCUCUGGGCCAUAACUGACACUGAGGAGCGAAAGUGCGGGGAGCGAACAGGAUUAGAUACCCUGGUAGUCCGCACCGUAAACGGUGGGCACUAGUUGUGGGAACCUUCCACGGUUUCCGCGACGCAGCAAACGCAUUAAGUGCCCCGCCUGGGGAGUACGAUCGCAAGAUUAAAACUCAAAGGAAUUGACGG